rnacentral:rRNA from 1 species
UACGUAGGGUGCGAGCGUUGUCCGGAAUUAUUGGGCGUAAAGAGCUCGUAGGCGGUGUGUCGCGUCGGCCGUGAAAACCUGCAGCUUAACUGUGGGCUUGCGGUCGAUACGGGCAUCACUGGAGUUCGGCAGGGGAGACUGGAAUUCCUGGUGUAGCGGUGAAAUGCGCAGAUAUCAGGAGGAACACCGAGUGGCGAAGGCAGGUCUCUGGGCCAUAAACUGACGC